AUUCAGCAAAUGUUUAUCAUGUACCUACAA
rnacentral:piRNA from 1 species